rnacentral:rRNA from 1 species
UAAGGAAUAUUGCUCAAUGGGAGAAAUCCUGAAGCAGCAACGCCGCGUGGAGGAUGAAGGGUCUAUGACUUGUAAACUCCUGUAAAGAAGGAAAAAAUUCCCAUUAGAUGGGAGAUGAUGGUACUUCUGGAGUAAGCCCCGGCUAACUACGUGCCAGCAGCCGCGGUAAUACGUAGGGGGCAAGCGUUGUCCGGAUUUACUGGGUGUAAAGGGUGCUCAGGCGGAUUUGUAAGUCAGAGGUGAAAUCUUACAGCUUAACUGUGAAACUGCCUAUGAUACUGCAAGCCUAGAGUAUGGAAGAGAGUGAUGGAAUAGAUGGUGUAGCAGUGAAAUGCGUAGAUAUCAGAUAGAACACCAAUGGCGAAGGCAGUCACUUGGUCCAUUACUGACGCUAAAGCACGAAAGCGUGGGUAGCAAACA